CCAUUUUGCUUAGUUGCAUUGAUUUUUUUUCUAAAUGCUCCAUGGAAGGCCAGGAAGGAUCACUGCCCUGUUGCCCUUCUGAAAGCCAGGGAUACUUCACUGAAGGAAUAUCUGUCUCACGACUUGGCAAUCCAGUUCUGAAAGGUGAAGAUUCCCCAAUGAAAGCAGCCCAUUCCUCCCACUCUCCUCUGCCAUUCUUGUCCAAACUAGAGGUUGGGUCCCUCCAAGGAGCCGUGAUGCCAGGCACUGGGAUGCUCCAGGGUACUGGGUUCUGAGCUUAGGCACCCUGAAGACUCUAUUCUGUCUACAAACCAUCACCAAGCAACCAUGGACCCAAGCAACCAAGUUCUCAGAAGCACGAGGGACCCAGUGUCCCCAGACACCUGAGGGCAGGUCGAUUGCACAGGACAGGGAAUCUCAAUCCACUUCUAUUUUCCUGAGGAGACAGAGGUAAAGACUAUCUUAGGACUAAUCUCAUUCCUCUCCCAGUUUUGGACGCAUUCGGCAGCCAUGAGAUUUUACGGUUCUUCCUGUUGGCAGAGCUCAGUGGCAUGAGAUCAAUUCCUUUUGCUCUAAACAGGCACAUACUUGAUGUCUGAGUUGUUGGAAGCUAGCAAUAAUGAGUAAGAAGUACAGGUCAUUUCAGAUGCUGCCACCGCCAAAGUCAAUGAGAGGCCUGAGGGCUUAUGGGUAAGCACGUGGUCUUGGGCAGAGCUCUUCCGUGUGGCUACCCGCCCGCUACCGCAGGUUAGUGGUCCGACCUUGGUGGCCAUCCCGCCUUGGGCUGAACUCCACUUGGGCUGCAGUGGUGUGGAUGUGGUUUGUCUCCACCCAAGCUCUUGUGGAAAAUUGGUUGUGACAUAACAGUCCUGGGAGGUGUGGCCUUGAAGAGGUGGUUGGGUUGCCGAGAGGGAUUAAUGCCUCUUGUGAGGCUGGUUCUUGUAGAAAUCGAUUCAGUCCCUGAGAGUGGAUUUUAAUGUGUGCACGUCUUCCUUAGUGCGAUGGUUUCAAUGAGAUGGCCCCCAUAGACCUGAAUGUUUGAAUGUUUGAUAUCCAGCUAGUGGAAUUAUUUGGGAAGGACUAGGAAGGGAACCCUCAUUGGAGAAGGUGUGACCUUGUUGAAGGAGGUGUGUCACUGGGGUGGAUGUUGGGGUUACAUAAAGACCACAUUAGGCCUAGUGUCUCCCUCUACCUGCUGCCUGUGGACCGGGAUAUAAAGCUCUCCACUACUGCUCCAGUGCCACUCCUGUCUGCCUCCUGCUGUGGCCCUAUAAACUGUAAGCAAGCUCCCAAUUAAAUUUUUUCCUAUAAGUGGCCAUGGCCGUCACAUUUGAGCUGUGAGGUUCCCACACAAACACACAUCUUCCCAUCAGAGACCUUCAGCAUCACAUUCUGUGACUGGAGUAUACAUGCCCACCUCUGCUGUGCUUUUGUGGUCCUCAGAAGGGUCGGCUGGCCUCAGGGCUCAGUACCCAACCUAGUCUUACUUUUUUGGUCCUUGCUGUUUUUAGAUCCUAAGAGACAAACUUUAUCUCAUGGCUCAAUGUGAUGUCUACCAAGAAAUGUUCGUAGAUUCCUUUAUCUAAUCAAAGAAUUCCCUUCUAUCACUAGCUUAUAUAACAUUUCCUGUAUGAAUAGAUGCUGAAUUGUACCAACCCAUUUUUUUUUAAAUCCAGUGAUACAUAGAAUCUUGUUCAUUCUUAUGUCAAAUGUGGUAAAUUAUACUAACCUUUGAAUGUCAAUCCAACCUUUUAUACUGGAAUAUUCUUUUUAUAGAUCAUGAGGUCGAUAUAUACUACAUCAAAAUAUUAACCAUUACUGGUUGGCUGAUAUUUUAAGAUUAUACUUGUAUUUAUGAUAAUGAUUAAUCAGCAAUUUUACUUUUCAUAAUAAUCUUCCCAGGUUGGGUGUCAAGGUUAUGCUUCCUGUAAUAUGUUGAUGUGUUGACGGCGUUUUCUUUUUUCCCUAUUCUCUGGAAGAGUUUUUAUGCAGUUAGUGACAUUUCUACCUAACUAUGUGGAUUGAUGCCCUGAAGUCAUCUAGGUCUAGAUAUUUCUUUACAGGAAGGAUUCCUAAUUAUAUACUGAAUGGACAGCAAAUUAUUCAGUUAUCUAUGUCUUCUGAUGUUACUUUCUACAGUUGAUGGGAAUUUUGAAGUUUCAUCUAAAUUUUCAAGGUGAUUGGCAUAAACCUACCAAUAAUUCCUCCCUCUUUAUUUCUAGUUGUUCUGAGAGCUUCCACACAGCCUCUGCUGCAUUUACGAUAUCGGUGACAUGAUAUGGGUGGCUUCUUGGGACAUUUCUUCUUCAGGGUGUGAAGAUCUGAUGAGUAUCCUCUUUCAUGUUCCUUUUCUAGCUGCUGAAAACUUCUCUGACAGAUGCCUCCAUGUCAACAGGAGCCUCGUUCUACUUGAAUAGAGCUAUUUUCACAGGGAAACGUGUGUUCAAAUCUACCAUGGGGCUAGAGAGAUGGCCCAGAAGUUAAAACAUUUGCUACUCUUGCAAAGGACCGGGAUUCAGGUCCCAGCACCCACAUGGCAGCUCACAACUGUUGAUAACUCCAGGUCCAGGGAUUCCAAUGCCCUCCUCUGGUACCAGUUUCACAGGUUCCAUCCAUUGUCGUCACGGUGGGAAGCAUGGCAGUGUGCAAGUAGACUUGGUGCUGGAGGAGUCAAGAGUUCUACAUCUUGAUCCUCAAGGAGCCAGGAGGACACUGCCAUCUUCACUGGGCAGAACCUGAGCAUAAGAAGAAAACUCAAAGCCCACUCACAUGUGACACACUUCCUCCAGCAAGACCUUACCUCCUGGGCCAAGCAUCGAAACACCUGAGGAGUCUAUUCAAACCAACACAGUCAGCAUCGUUCACACUCGGUACUUUGAACUUGUGACCCAUGGGGCUUCCUUUGGAGGAAAUACAGUUUGGUUGAUGGCUGUUUUUUUUUUUUUAUUUUCUAUUUGUUUUACAGUUUUAUGCUUAUGUAUCUCUCUGUGGUUUUCAUUUAUACUGCUAGUUAAUUAGUUAGUUAGUGGGAUGUGUGUGUGUGUGUGUGUGUGUGUGUGUGUGUAUGUGUAAAGGCAUGUGCACCCUUACUAGGUUAGCUGUCUUCUACCUGCCCUGUACCUGCUCUUCCUGAGCAAGUGCCUCUGUCUUCCUCACUUUUGCACUACCCAUCUCUGCCUCCUUCUCCCCUCCCCCUUGUUCCUCUUCUCCCUCUCCUUCUGGAUCAGUAAUUAUGUGUUUUCUCUCAAAGUAGAAAAAAUCUAUAUUUUUUUAUGCUUGGUCUGCAUAUAUUUUUUUUCUACCUUGCCUUUGUAAUUACUUAUAUUCUUAAGCUUUGGAUAAACAUAACCAUUAACCUUAACAUUUUUUAAGCUUUCUAUUUAUUGCUACUGUGAUGUUACUGAAAAUACUUCAUGCUGUCCUUUUACUUCUGGCAUGAAUCAGACUUGCUAUUGUAAAGGUUUUCACUUUGCUUUUUGGGAAAGAAGCCAGUGCAUAGCCUCAGCCUCCCUCCACAUCAUGAUCCUCCUGCUGUAGCAUCCCAAGGACUGGGUUUACAGAUGUGGGCCAUGAUGCCCAGAUAUUUAAAGUAACAUCGCAACUACAUCGGAAGGGCAGCAUCAGAAUCUCCAGUGUAUAUGUUUCCAGUGUUUAUUUCCCCUUCGUGUCCCAACCCCCUCACUGUCCUUACUUAGCUAUCUUUCAUUGACGAUUAGACAUUUUGUAUCAAAUUGUAGAAGACACUAGGGGCCUUGAGGAGCAUCCUUCUUUGGAGAAGAACUGCUUUUGCCUCUACCUUGCACUCAGAAUGAGAGACAGCCCUUCCCCGGAGACAUUUGAACGAGGCAUCAGCUUUAGUCUCAGGGCGUACCCAGUCUGAGCAACCGCCUUGGCUUUCCUUGAACAAAAGGGUUUCUCAGAACAGGAAGUUCUGGUACUAAAGCCAGACAGUCAGGUGAACCGAGGGAGAGGGUCACCACGGAUUGCUCCAAGGAAUUGGGGUAUCUGCUUUGACCCCUCCUUUGCAAGCCUUUUGUGCCAAGUUUUGUCGCCUGUCUAAUGAUGCUCCUGAAUUUCUGCCCACCUUUUUGACUACAUGCUCCUCACUGCCACUGGCUUUCCAGCAUCACACCCUCAGCAGCCUGUGAACUGACCACUGCCUUGAGAGGAGGAAGAACCCCGCCCCCUAUCCUUACCUUCUACCUCCUAACCCCAGCCCUGAGCCUCUCCUCUCUCCAGGAACCUGUCUUCUCAAGUCAUCCCUGUCCUGUGUUUACUCCAGUGCCUUCAGGCAGGUAGUGGCUAGGCAGCUUUUUCUAGUUGUUCUUGAUGGGAGGCGUGGUCUGAAACAAGCUAGUCCAACAUCGUUGGAAGCAGAAAUUAGACUGCGCGUUCUCAAGGCUUUCGAGUAGUGCCAAAAUGCCCUCCAGAAAGAUGGCAGAACAUUAGCUUUCAGUUGUGGUCAGGAGAGGUGGUUUCUCUGAAUCUUCCCAACGGUGGGCGUCGCCAACGAUACCAGAGACACUUCUCUUUACAGCUUUGCCAUUCGCUAGAUGUAGAAGAGGGGUGGAGCUUCCAGAUUUACCUUUCUGUGACUCCUGUGAGGUGGAGCCUUGGUUCCAUUUUCUCAGCCGUUGAAUUGGGUGAGAGGCAAGGGGCAUUGCGCAGCAGACCUGACGGUUGGAAACUGGAAAACAAGCUGCAGGUGAGUUUGUGGCCAGAAUCCGUUACAAGUCCAUUCAAGAAGCUGGUUCAUCAGUGGCCACUCCCUAACAGACAUCAGUUCCCCUCCGAUGGGAGCUGCUUGGUGCUGUGCGGCUCAAGAGUUGCAGUCCUCACUACAAAGACACAGGGACGUGCCAGGUACUGGAGAACCCGUGAUACCAUCACAAAGACAGCAGUGAAGGAAAAUGCAAGGUCAACACUCAAAAUGAUGAGGGUAGAGGCGGGCAGGCACCUUUACUCUGCUUCGUCCCGUUUCAGAGACCAUUAUCACGAAGAGAGUGUUGCUUGUGCGAGAAGACUGUUUUGACACUGCUUGAAUGCAGGCUGGGGUAGGCUGUCUCAGAACAUCUUUAUCCUGACUGCGGGUCCCAUUCAGAGGGUGCGCCUGCAGCAUCUUCCGCAGCAGAGUACGUUUGUGUCUGCGUUUACUUCAGGUGUUUGCUUUCUAAACAAUCCCCUUGGCACGUUCCGAAGCAGCUGGACUGGGGUAUUUAAUUAGUCAUUUUCAAAACAAGAGGGAAGGUCAAAGUGUUCUCAGUUGAGGAGGGGGAGAAAGCUGCCCUCCCAUUUGCCUCAAUCCCGGAGCAAUUCUCUCUGGGCUCCUUUGUGGCCACAAGGGCCAUAAUUCUGGAGCCAAAUUUGGGCAUCCCACAAUGGUGGGUUCAAAGAGGGGUUUUCAUUUCUAAUUACCCCUCAGGUAGCCCCUGUACCCUUAUCCAGUAAAUGUGUAAUUGGGAGUUCCUGCUUGGAGACUAAAGUCUCGGGCGACAACAACGCUAAAGACAAGGUUUCCACUGGUCUAAAUGGUCUUUUAUAGCACAGACUUCCAGAUACAGGGCUUUCUUUCCCCCCAAAGUCUUUAUGUAGCAGUUAAUGGCUGCAAGCAAAUAGCCAAACCUCAGAUCCUGACUGUGUGCCAAGUUCUUCACUAGGAGGGGAGACUCUCACAGUGGUGUUUGUUGAAAGUUGCUCGGAAUAGGGAAUAUUUUGCACCCAUAAAUAACUGCUGGGGGGGAGGAGGGGGGGACAGGUGAGCCACAGCAGGAUAUUUUUUUUUCAAGAAGAGGAACAGUAAACUUAUUAUGCCUCAAGAAAUUUCCAAGGAUGUCCCAUAUAUUCCUCACAGGAAAUACUCUGUAAUUUUCCCCCCUCCUUGCCAAUUUCCCCCACUUUUUAUCUUAAUGAAUGAGGUUUGCUACAACCCAUGUUAGAGCUAGUCUCCUUAACAUUUUUUUCCAUAUUGUUAUUUGGAGACUGGGCUCUCUUCAGAUUCCUUUCCACCUACACAUGUGGUUAGGCUGUCCAGAUGGUAUUAGUGGGCAGGGAGCUUCUGUGAUACAAUGUACCAGAGUCCCCUAGUCACCAGCCAAUGGAGACAAAAUGAGGGUAGACAGGAGAGCACUGGACUUCAGAGUGAUAUGGAACAGAGUUCUCUCAUUCCCUUGCUGAGAAGAGCAUGCCUGGAAAGGAAUAGUGGACUCUAAGUGGUUAACCGAACACAUCCUCAGAAAUCUCACCAGACUGGCGCUGCUCUGGGAGCCAGCCUGUAAAGUGAGGCCAGGCCUGUUUCAUAGGUGUGGGGUGCAGAUAUGAGUCAGUCUCUGAGUCCAACUUCACUCCAAUCUUGCUUUGUUAUGGAAUCCAGCUAUUUUGCUGCUGGUUGACUUUCUCCCCACCCCCACCCCCACCCCCACUACACAAGACCCCUGCCUACUGACACCCCCAGCACUGACAUCACUGUCCUUGCUGUGAGGAGGAAUCAACAUGAGGGAAAGGCUUGGCAUGGACACAUGCUCUGUAAUAUAGUUUUAGCAAUUUGCUGGCCCAAUACUCCCCACAACAGGAAUAAGGAGCCUAACACUCCGCUCAAUGGGUGCCUCACAGACUGGAUAACAAGAGAGACUGAAGUGGCAAGGACGAGAUGCUGAGAAGACCAACACGGAGACAAGAGGAGUGAGAGGAGCCAAGCCUCCCUGAGCCACCAUUCCCAGGGGCAUCUUCUUAGGGCCACCCCUCUUGGACAUCUACCCUUACCAUUCAUCCAGCCCAGUUCUUCAAUCUCAGCUGGGGCAGGACUCCCUGUCCCUAGCCCUUCUUCACUCCUACAGACACAAUCCUUCUAGAACCUACCUUAACCUAAUAUACGUUUAUGGCUCUGCAUUGGCCUCCAGCUCAACUGAUGCCUCCCGAGCCCAGAGACACGAGUGGGGAUGCUGUGAGUGGGACGCAGGAAGGACAGAUGUACAAGAAGCCCACAACUGCCUCGCCUCUGGGAUGUUCCCUGUACUGACUAGGGAGGAGACGGCUUGCAGGAAUAUGCCUGUCUCUCCCACGGGACAGUUAGAGCCACAGCACACACCUAAGUCUCUGCACACAAUGCCCUAUUGUGGGUUACUCACCACACCAUGAUGCUUUUAGGUGAAGUGUGGGCAGAAGAGGUGAAAGGGGGCGAUUGGGUUGUGGGGAGGGAUUUUUGGAGGGAACCUUUCUUCCCCCAGGCAAGUUAAGGACAGGAUGAGUUGGGCUGUGAGUAGACAGCAGCCACAGUCAGAAGCCAGGGCCUGGACCAGUGAGAUGGCUCAGCAGGCGAAGAGCCUGCAUCCAGGUCUGAUAAGACCGAUGACCUCAGCUGGAUUCCAGGACCCACACAACAGGAGAGAACCAGCUCCCACUAGUUGACCUCUGACCGUCAGGUACACCGCAGCCUCACACGCCUGCUACAUGCAUUAACUAAUUAAGCAAACAAGUCUUAGCCCAGGACCUGACCACAGCCUAGUUGGGCUUUCCCUUUCAAGCUAGGGAGACGAAUUACAAGAACGCCGUAGGACCCUUGGGAACUCGCCUGGUUCAGACAGAACAAAGCUCUUGAAGCUCAGGAAAAAUACCUUCUGUGUGCCCAGCAGAAGGAAGAAGGCUUAUAGGACAGUGAGGGGAGAAUGAAGGUAUGAUGGGUCUGAGGGUGGGCUGCAAGGCUCAGGCUUGCCAACAGUGUGACCAUUUCCUUUCCUUUUUUUUUUUUUUUCGGAGCUGGGGACCAAACCCAGGGUCUUGCGCUUGCUAGGCAAGUGCUCUACCACUGAGCUAAAUCCCCAACCCCGCCAUUUCCUUUUCUACUUGAAGUAAAUGCCCCUUCCUCUUUCCUGUCCACUGAGAUCCAGCCUAUCGUGGGCUGGGUUCCACCCAUCUGGCCCUCAGCCCCAGGACCUAUCAUGACUCGACAGUCCUGCCUGUAGCUGUAACACAGUUUUCUGCACACAGUAGGACGUAGGACUUGUGUUUCAGUCACCACUGUACCUCCAGCACCUUCCCGAGGGCCUAGAUCAGCCACUGUCCAGGCAAGGGCAGCACGGACAGCUGACGCUAAGCUGGGGUGGGUAUCAGCAGCCUCAGCACAAGUCCCAACCUUCCCACCAGGCCGGCAUCCUUAGAGGGGAGAUGGGAAUGGACAGGGGCACAGGCAGACAAGACUGCCUCAGAGUGUGAACCAUAAACAAAAGCAGGAGCAUAGGGUACUGGGGAGGUCUCUGGCCUGUGGCUGGGCAGAGCAUCUUCGAGAAGGCAACAUCUCCACAAGACUGAGGUGUCGAGACGACAGAGGAGAGUGAGCGAAUGUGUCAGGCAGAACUGGUGGCAGUGGGCAGGGAUUCAGGGAGGAUCGUGUGUCCUGGAGCCUUGACCUCUUGGCUAUUCUGUGCCUCCCAGUGUACCCACCGUACCCCAAAGCAAUUUGGUCAAAAGGUAAACCCAGGAGCUCUCAGGAAAGGAUGGAGCGAGGAUAGAACUCAUGCAUCCUCAGGGCUCAGCACCUAUGGACAAGGGAGAGGAGCAGUGAGAACGACUCUACUCCUCACCUCUUCCCACUCUCCCCUAGAUCAUCAAUGACAGGUCAGGGGACAGAGAGCAUGGGAGGUCCAUGUCUCUCCCAACUCCCAAUUUGCAAAGGGCAGGGGAGAAGAAUUCCAAGAAUGAGGUCCUGCUUCAACAGGGCAUUGCAGUCCUGGGUUCCUAUGCCUGCUGCCAGCAGAGACACCAAGUGCCCAAGGUGACUGUCACGUAAAUACCUCCUAGAACCUUCCUCUGUGGAGGGUCCAGAACCAUCUAGGCAGUUCUGUCUUGGAGUCCCUCAAGCUCUGUUUCUCAGCCUCAAAGCCUCCAGGGUUCUGGUGGUCCCUUUGUUCCAGGGGAACUGCACUGCUCACUGGGAUCUGUUCCCAUAGAGUGACUUGGAUCUGGGGUUCUCCUCCAGUCUGUCCCCAGAGGCUAGCUACUGUGAAAACUAUGUCCUGGAGCUGUCUCCUAAAUGCUGAACUUCCUUGUGCCCAGGAUGCAUUAUGGGAACAGUAUCAGGAAGACUGCUGGGGCUUGUGGUCUAGCCUAACAAUCAGUGAGAGACCCUGAAUCAAAGGAGUAAAGAGGUGCAAUAGAAGGAUAGCCAACUUCCUCCUCUGGCCUCUCUGUGCUCACAGGUAUGUGCACCUGUACUCACAAUUAUGAAUAUACCACACACUCAUACACAGUCUCCUCCCUUCCCUUCCUUACCACUCCCCCCACCACCACCUUGGUUCAGAUUCUUUGGAAAUUUAAACCAUAGCAAAUACUAAGACGGCUGCAAAGGAAAGGAAGCCUUGUUCCCUUCAUGUCUAUUGAAGCCAGAAUCCUGAACAAAGGGGUCCCACUCAGAUAGGACCACUCUUUUGACCAUCAAUAAUGACAGGAUUCCAUAGAGGAAUUUGUUAGUGGGAGGUAAGGACAGAUGUAAAAGGGGCGACAUACCAGAUACUGCCAGUGUUUAGGAAAUAUUGGGCGAGGCUCCCUCCACCCUGAAGCUUCUCAAGAGGAUCUGAGGCAGGAUGUGGCCCUGACUGCCCUAUGCCACCGCUACCGUGUAUUUGUACAAGGCUUGGCAACUUGUGUUUUAAAAACUCAAAAUGCAAAAGUUCACAUUAAUAUUUUAAUACUGUUCUUGGGUGCAGCAUUCCAGGCUAAGCCUCUUAAUUAACCUCAUAUCUGCAAGGUGUUUGAAGAUGAAAGGUUUGGUCAGGAAUGUAUUAGGGGCCCAGCAGGAGCCCCCUCCCACCUCAUCUCACACUUGUUCCCAUAAUACCCUUUACAAAGGCCAGCCACGCCCACCUGAAACCAGGACAGAAGACACUCCAGCUAGGAGCUGGGCUCCACUGCCAGGACUUAGACCUUUUCACCGGCGCCUGUGAACUUGCUCCAAUUCCCACAGGGCAACAAGGCAGGGGAUAGCUGGGCACAGUGUGCUUGGGUAUAUGCUGUGACCCCUUUUCAUUUGAGAAGUUCAUAUUGUCUUUAGUUUUGUAACACAAAUAAUGUCAACUUACUGUCAAAACAUUAAAAUCAUGAGUAAGUCAUAGUUUGGGAAAUCACAGCAUUAUAAAGACCUUAAAGGUAGCAGAAUUUUCUAAGUUCAAGACCAGACUGGUCUACGAAGCAAGUUCCAGGCCAGCUAGGCCCACAAAUGAGAGCCUGUCUUAUAGGACGGGAGGUGUGAGGCAGACAAAUAGAAUACAGACAGAAAGAGAAAGAGACGGAGAAAGAGAUAGAAUAAUGAAUUAUGGGAAAACAAGUCCACAGCAGCCUAACCCCUCUGUUCUUAAGUUUCUUCCAUUUACACAUCCAACCACACCCACCCACACGCUGCUUCCAGUUGUCACAGCAGAGAAACAAAUUGCUCCAGAACCGAAGAAAACAACAACCGUUUAUGACCCUGGGCCAGGAGGAAAAUGUGGAUAAGGCAUGGUAGUGGGCAGCUCAUCUCUGCCCCAUGAUGUCUUGCUUCCCACUCUGGAACACCAAAAGGUUCAGAAUCACUGGAAGGUUGUUUCCUCACAUCCUCAGCUGUCAGGUGGUUGCCUGGCUGUUGUCAGGUUUCUUCAAGUGGUUGUGGUUUCCUCACAGUGUGGCUGCUGGGUUAUCUCAAAAGCUUAGAUAAAGCCUUUAUGACUCGUCAUGGAAGUCAGGGAUUUCUCUCCAACCAGCUCCUAUUAACGCACUGGUCCUCAACCUUCCUGUUGCUGUAACCCUCAGCCCCUCUACAGUUCUUCAUCUUGCAGUGACCCUCAACCAUAAAACUAUUUUAGCUGCUACUUCCUAACUGUAAUUCUGUAACUGUUAGAAAUCACAAUGCAAAUAUUUAAGUUUUCCAAUGGUCUUGGGCAACCCCUAUGAAAAGGUCAUUCAACCCCAACCCCGCAGGGGUCACAGCCCACAGGUUGAUAAUCACACUGUAUUAGUGGCCCGAACACUAAGGCCUGCCAGGUUCAAGGGGAGGGAAGCGAGCUUUCACCCCCAGGCAGGCAACAGCAAGGUUCUAGAUAGAAGAGCCUUUGGGAUGAGAAAUUAUUCUGGGACACUUUGGAAAAACGUAACAUGCCAUGUUAAAUGUUUCUAAAAAGCUUUAUCUUGGUGUAUAUGUGAGCAUGAAUGUUUGUGCGUGUGGUAUAAAUGUAUGUCACAUGUGUGCUGUACUCAGUGAGACUGAAAGAGGGUGUUGGAUCUUGAGAACCAAACUCGGGGCCUCUAUAAGGGCAGGAGGUGUUCUUCGCCACCAAGCCUUUUUUUGAGUCCCAACUGCCAUGUUGAAUUUUAGUGGUAUUUUCAUUACAGCCCAUUCACAUUUUUAAGAAUAUGUUUAUUCUUUGGUAAUUUAAAGCAUAAAUACAACGUAUUUAAAUCGUACCCACACCUUGAGCCCCCCUCCCACCAAAUCCUCCUGUCACCCCCUCUGAUUUCCCUUCUGUCUUUAUGUCUUUGAUGGUGGUAGCCUCUUGCCUUCUUUCUCCUCUUAUAACCCGCUGACACCAGUCAUGAGUGGAGGGCACCAUCCCCUUUUACCAAAGACUGACAAUCACACGGUGUGAUGCCCUCACCUUACGUAUGUAGCUCAAGGAUCUGGACUGUGAUACAUAUAGACUCCUGUUUGCUAUUCACUCCCAAGCAUAGCCGGCGGAGGGAGGAUUUCCUGUGUCUUACUAGUCAGCAGCCUCUCAGAGCUACCCUAUAUCAACCUCCAUCACAAAAGGUAAGUUUUCAGCUGAUACUUUCCCAGGCUGAUGAUUUCCCAUGCUACCUUCGACCUAGAUGCCUGGAUGGUUCCCACAUGUCCGUGCACGCUAUGGGUUAUUUAACCAAUAACCCGUGGCUGGAACAUCAGUGUUUCUAAAAUUUCCAUUAAGGAAAAUUGAGUGGUUCUGGGUAGACGCCUACCCAGGCAUCCAUCACCACAGUCUACGUCCUGAAACCAGUUCUGUGUUUCCAUCCUAGCCCCAAAGUCCGUAGGAACCACAGUAGGGCAAGCAGGUUUGGCAUAUAUAUAUAUGUACUGGUUAGGAAUGGAGUGGAAUCUUCAGCCACAUGGAGAGACUACCUAGAGACUGACCUGGGUGGAACGAAGAGAUGAUUUCUGACAGCACAUUGGAGGAGGUACUGGGAUCUGAACCCAGGGCCUUGUGAAUGAGGCAGCUAUCACACAGUUCUAUCUGGAGCCCUCUUUCGAUUUUUUUCACCUUCAGUUGAUCAGGCUGGCCUUGAUCUUAUGAUUCUCCUGCCUCAGCUUCCCAGUAGCUAGGAUGACAGGUAUUCUAGUUUACUUUUCUAUUGUUGUGACAAAACCUAAUAACCCAGAAUAACUUAGUGUGAUGACCCUGUUUAUUUGGCUUUUAUUUCCAGAUCACCAUUCAUCAUUGAGGGAAGCCAGAGCAGGACUGAAGGCAGAAACCUGGAGACAACAACGAAGCAGAGACCUUAGAGGACCACUGCUUACUGGCUUGCUUUCCAUGGCUUGCUCAGCCUGAUUUGUUAUACAGUCCCAGACCACUGUCCACCUAGCAACAGCCUCGGUGGGCUGGGCCCUCCCACAUCAUCCAACAAGAAUAAGCUCCCACAGACUUGCCUACAGGCCAGUCUGGUGGAGUUUAAAAAGGAAAGGAAGCUAUCCACUAAACCCAAAGCCAAGAUUAGCAAGAAUGUCACAUAAAUGGAAAGAACCCGAUGUGUGGGAAGUUGCGGAAAAUGGAGACAAAGCCCUCCCUCCACGAGACAGCAUGAGAAGCUCCUGGAUGGUGAAAAUAAAGGGAGCCCACUGAGGGGCUUAGAACACAGGCAGGAACAUGGAAGGGGCGCCCUGAGGAUGGGUGAGGUAAGCCCAUGAUGGCCUGAAGUUCUGGGAAGCAACAGGCAGACGGAACUGCAGCUUACAGAUAUCAGUCUUGCUGUUGCAGAUUCACAAGAGGAUGCUGGGAGACGGUGCCUUCCGGGGACACCGAGCCUGGAACAGUCAGGUGGGCAGGCAGCCUAGGCACCAUCUGCUGAUGGAGCCAUUAUCCCUUGAUCGUACACCUGAGGUCAUAUAAUGCUCAACUGCCUUUGCAACAGGACCCACCACCUUUCCUUCUAUUUUCAGUAUUGGGUCGUCAUUGUCACCCUGUCCCCUUCUAGGUCCUGAGUUGCUGACACUGGCAGCAACUGGCACCUCAGUGAGCACAGGGGAGACUCGCUGUGAAGCCCAGCAUUAGCAUUUUUCUUGUUGUAACAAAAUGCAUGACACGCUCAAGAAAGGAAGGGCUUAUUCUGGUCCACAGUUCGAGAGGAUAGUCCGUGACGGUGGUGAACACACAGUUGCAGGAUCUGAGGAGCUGUAAGGUGCAACGGUCACAUUGCACCCAUGGUAGGGAAGCAAAGAGAAAUGAGUGCAAGUGCUUGACCUGUUUGCUCCUUGGAAUUCAGUUCAGGCCCCGAGCUUAUGGAAAGGCGCUACUCAUAUAUAGGGUGUGUCUUUUUCUACCUUAUGUAAUCUAGGAACUCCCUUAUAGACAUUCCCCCGAGCAUGGUCACCUAGGUGAUUAUAGAUCCUGUCAAACUGACGAUCAAUAUAAACCUUCACAAGUCUAUCCCUUGUCAGCCUGACACCCAAACAUAUCACAUUUGAGCCAGGGUCUUCCUCUUCUAGUCCCCAUAGGCUCCUAGUCAUCUGUUAAUGCAAAAUGCAUUCAGUCCAACCUCAAGUCUUGUGCCAUUUGUCCCUGAAGUCUUUAACAGUUCUGACUAUUUAAUAGUCCAAAGUCUAAUUCUCUCCAAGCUUCAAGGAAAUCUCUUAACUGAGAGCUCCUAUGAGAUAAAACAUUUUUUAAAAAGCACAUAUGUAACUCCAAUAGACAAUUUCACAAAAUAAAUGCUUCUAUUCUAGUAGGGAAGAGGAGGGCUCAGCAAGGAAAGUUUGGACCAAUGGUGGGGGCAAACACCAAACCUGGAGCAUGUGAUGGAACGCUCUAGGCUUCCAGAUCUCCAGCCCACUGUCUGCAGUACACAGCCUCUCUGUUAGCCUGGCUUUCCUCCACACUUUCAGCUUUCCCCGAUGGACUUCCUGCAGUCCUAGUGUUCCCAACAUCCUAGGGUCUUCACUGCAACUUAGACUUCUCCUCGGCUUCACACCGUGGUCUUUCAGGGGCUCCUUGGAGGACUCUGACCCUGUUACACACUGAUAGCUUUUAGAGACUACAGCACAAGCCUCCAUGUUUCUUUCACGAAUGUACCUUUCAUGUCAGUAAAACUGUUAGCUAUGGAAGGAAUAGAGUCCUAAGCUGUCACCACAGGAGCGUGGAAAGUUCCCUUAAUCUUUUAGGAAUCUCAACUCAAGGAUCAGAUAAAUCCAGAUCCCUGGCUCGGAUGCAGAAAGAAUUUCAAAGUAAGCCAGUGUGAGGCAGAACUGGGGCUCAGUGGAUAAAACGUUUGCCAUCCCAGCUCGGGGACCUGCAUUUGGAUCAGUAGCACCAACCUGACUCACGGGUGUGGAAAUGCGCCCUAUAAACAUGGCACUGGGAUGCCGAGACAGGUGGAUUCCAGGGGUUGGCUGGGCAGCCAGUUUAGCCAAAAGUGUGAGCUUCAGGUUCAGCGAGAGUGUCUCAAAAUUAAAAGGUAAGGAGCUGAAAAUGCUUCCCUGUUGAAACUGCUUGCUGCCCUUGCAGAGAUCUGGGUUCAGUUCCCAGUAGCCAUAUCGGGUGACUAACAACCACCAGAAUCUCCAGAGCCAGGGGACCCAAGAUCCUCUUCAGGCUUCCUCAAAUACUGCAUGAACAUACAUACACUUGGGCACACAUACAAACCCAUUACAUACAUACAUACAUACAUACAUACAUACAUACAUACAUACAUACAUACAUACAUAUUUUUAUUAAAAAGAGAAUGGAGAUGAUAGGGUGCCCAAUGUUGACCUCUGGCCUCCACAUGCACCCACUGGUGAAUAUCGUACACACAUGCCAUACACAUGCCUGCUCUUGUGAACACAAAGGCACUUUUACUAGGAUAUAAAGGGGGUCCAUAGAAAGGCUCAAAGAACGUGGUGAUGGUUUGAACGAGAAUGAUGCCCAUAGGCUCCUUUAUUUGGAUGCUUGGUCCCCAGUUACCGAAACUAUUUGAGCAAGGUUAGGAGGCAUAGUCUUGUUGGAGGAAAACUGUCACAGGGGGUGAACUUUGAGGUUUUAAAAGCCCAUACCAUUUCCAGUUAGCUCUCUGCUUGUGCUUAUAGAUCAAGGUGUAAGUUCUCAGUUACUGCUCCAGAGCCAUGCCUGCUGCCUGCUGUCGUGCUCCCUGCUAUGUGGUCACAGACAGACUCCAACCCCGAGGACCUGAGACCCAAAGUUAACACUUUCUUUUAUAAGCUGCCUUGUUCAUGGUUUUGUGGUUUGAAAGAGAAUGGUCCUAUAGACUCCUAUGAUUAAAUGUUUGGUCUCCAGGUAGUAAAACCGCUCUCCCUGCAGAAACUGCUCUCCCUGCAGAAACCGCUCUCCCUGCAGAAACCGCUCUCCCUGCAGAAACCGCUCUCCCUGCAGCUCCCGUGGUACAGCUUUAAUCUUUCUCACACUCCUUUGCACACUCGUGCGCACCUCACUUUCUCCUUUUUAUUCAGUCCAGGACCCUGGUACGUGGACUGGCACUACCCACAUCUAGAAUGGAUCUUUCUACCUCAGUGAACAAGAUCUAGAAACUUCUUUAUAGACAUGGACAAAGAAUUCGCUCCUAAGUAAUUCUGGGUCUUGUCACGUUGACUGUAUUAACUGCGGCAGCCCUAAAAGUCCUCUCUUCAGUCCCUUUGUAGGCUGGCUCUGGGAAGAUUCUAUGGCUGGCAGGCAAUAUGUGAAGGGGUCAGAGAUAAAUGAGAAGUGAGAGCCCCGGUUCUAGGUACACUUCGUAAGACAAAGGAGUUUGUCCUGGUUUGUUUUUGACACAAGCUAGCAUUACCUGGGGUGAGGAAUCUCAAUUGAGAAAGUGUUUCCAUCGUGGUACCUGUAGGCAAGUUUAAAGGCAUUUUCUCAGUUAAUGAUUGAUGUUUCUAGUCCCCCGGGUCCUGGGUUGAUUAAGAAAUCAGGCUAAGGGGGUUAGGGAUUUUGCUCAGUGGUAGAGCGCUUGCCUAGCAAGCGCAAGGCCCUGGGUUCGGUCCCCAGCUCUGAAAAAAAAAAAAAAAAAAGAAAGAAAGAAAAAAAGAAAGAAAGAGAGAAAGAAAGAAAGAAAUCUGGCAAAGUGAAUAAACAAUGAGAAACAAGCCAGUUGACAAUGUCCCUCUAUGACUGCUGGUUCAGUUCCUCUCUCCAGGUUCCUGCCUUGAGCUCCUACCCUGACUUCUUCCAGGGACGACUGUGAUGUGGAACUGCAAGCCACACGAACCCCUCCUUCCCACAUUGCUCUUGGCAAUGCUGUUUUAUCACAGCAACCGAAACCCUACCCCAGAGCAUUGGAGAAACCAAUGCCAUAAGACUGUGAAAAGUGAGAGAGCCUCAGCUCAUAGAAGUCUGCACCAUAGUCCCACCAGGAAGGCAUAGACAAGGAUCCAGAGAGAGAAAGCCGAGUCUCAAAGCCAGAGCAUGCCAGCUAGAGAAAAGCCCUCUAUCUAAUGGAGGUCACUGUCCCUUCUGCCUUCUUUUCCAAUUCCAUUCCAUUUAUUUGUCUCAUAGCCUAUUGCCCUGUUCACUGAGAUGUGUGCUCGAGAGGGGACUGUGGGUCUGGUGACUUCUGUCCACUAUGCCUUGCCUGAUGUCCACUCAGGACACCAUCUCUUGGGAAGAGAAUUUGGUGGUCACAGCAUGUACCACUGAGUGAGUGAGCUGUGUGGGGUUUGGAGUCAGAGUUUGAACACAGCUUGGGUGUCUUCCAGGGGUUCAUACAUUAAGAGCUUGGUCCUCAGCAUGGCAAGGUGAAAGAUGAUAGACUUUUAACACACAGGGUUCAGUGAAAGGUACUCGGGUCGCUGGGCACAGUAGCCCUGAGUGGGAUUCCAGUUAGUUCCCACCAGAGUUAAAAGGACAGAGAGUGGCCCCACUGUCUGGCUUCCUGUCUUGUCCUAUGACAGUCUGCUUUUGCACAUACUUCUGCCAUGAAACCAUUGCUAUCAUGUAACCCAGUCCAGGGGAGUCCUUCUGAAGUGGAGUCCAUGAGACCACCUAAUAUUGGAAUUUCAGCUUGUAAACCAGUGAACCCUUUUUUCUUUAUAAAAUAUUCCAGCCUCAGUCUCACACCUGAGAAGCUGAGAACAUGGUGGCAGCUUGGUCUAAGACGCUAGAUGUCCCAGCAGUCAGAGUAGUCCCACAGAAGAUGUCUCACACAGGAAAGGCAAACAACCUGGUUUCUCCUCAGCCCACAAGGCUGAGUGCCUCGUUAGUCCCAGUCAGGCACCGAAAUUCUAGAGGAUUCACGGAGAGGCCACUAGUCCUUAAACAACAAUGGAGGCCUGGCAACGCUGGCUCUGACAUCAGUAAAGAAGCCGCCAUCUUCAUCAUCAUCAUUAUCAUCAUCAUGUCAUCAUCAUCUUCAUCAUUGUCAUAUUGUCACUGUCAUCAUCAUCUUCAUUGAUAUCGUUAUUGUCAUCAUCAUUUUCAUCAUCUUCAUCAUUGUCAUAUUGUCACUGUCAUCAUCAUCUUCAUCAUCCUGUUCUUCCUCCUUCUCCUCCUCUUCUUCCUCCUUCUCCAGUGUAAAUCAAUUCAAUGGCAAGAAGGAAGACCAAGUGACUGUUACAUCCUCAUUAUCAUUGUCAUUAUCAUCAUCAUCUUUGUGAUUUCAUUGCCAUUGUUGUCAUCAUCAUCAUUGUCAUUGUCAUCAUUAUCAUCGUCAUCAUCAUCAUCCUGUUCUUCCUCUUCUUCCUCCUCCUUCUCCUCCUCCUCAUCGUAAAUCAACCCAAUGGCAGGAGGAAAGACCAAGCGAGUGGAAAGCAAACAGUCUCCCCUCUGCCAUGCUCCUUUUUAUCUGGGUUUUGACCUGGACCUGCCACCCACACUUGGGGUUGCUCUUCACAUCAGUUAAAGGAAUCAGGACAACUCCUCAGAUGUGGCUCCCUACGCAGGUCAUGCUAACUUGUGACAAGUGGACAUUAACACCCUCCACCACAGGCAUCUUAUUACCGCAGCACAAGAUGAACUGCUCUAAAGUACUCCCUCACUCUCAGCUCAUGAGCUCUUUCUCAUUUUCUAGAAGUAAGGGCCAUAAGGAAAGAUGCCUAAAGAUUCCACCAUGUGCCCCAGAGCACAGAGGCUCUGCCAGCCCUCCCAUCGACCUUCCCCAGUGUGAAGAAAUCCAUCCACAGGCCUCCUCCAGCUCCAGAAACAUCUAACUACUUGGAUUAAAGGUUUGGGUCAUAAACACAUAGUUGUUUUGCUUCUUUGGUAUCUUGAAAGAUGAUGUUAAAAAAAAGAAAGAAAAAAAGAAAGAAAGAAAGAAAAGGAAGAAAGAAAGAAAACAUCUUUUUGAGUCACAGCCCCCACAGUUACUACUCUAGUCUUCUCUUUCUCUUUGCAGAGAAUUUCUUUUUUUUUUUUUUUUUUUUUUUUUGGUUCUUUUUUUCGGAGCUGGGGACCGAACCCAGGGCCUUGCACUUCCUAGGUAAGCGCUCUACCACUGAGCUAAAUCCCCAGCCCCUGCAGAGAAUUUCUUGAAGAGUUUCCCAUUCUACUCUGCCCACUACCCUCCUCUUGUCAUCCCUUUAAUGGACUGCCUAGACAGCUAUGUACCCCACAUUACCACAGACAGUGCCUAAAAUGCUUAGUACUGUCCCUCCAUUCUGCCAAACCUAGCAGCCAAUACCCAUCAUCU